UACGGGGGGGGCAAGCGUUGUUCGGAAUUACUGGGCGUAAAGGGCUCGUAGGCGGCCAACUAAGUCGGACGUGAAAUCCCCAGGCUCAACCUGGGAACUGCGUCCGAUACUGGAUGGCUUGAAUUCGGGAGAGGGAUGCAGAAUUCCAGGUGUAGCGGUGAAAUGCGUAGAUAUCUGGAGGAAUACCGGUGGCGAAGGCGGCAUCCAGGACCGACAUUGACGCUGAGGAGCGAAAGCUAGGGGAGCAAACGGG
rnacentral:rRNA from 1 species